GAAGCCCGCAAUUGAAGUUGAAGGCACAAAAAUCAGUCUGAGAUGGGGGGUCAAUUUUACAGGGGCUUGAGGAUGACUUGUGCUCUGCCACUCAUGACCCAGCUACCUGUAAGGUGCACCGACCCAUUCAUAAAAACAUGACCAAGAUGUAGCUCCAUACAUCUACAAGUAGGUCGGCCUUAAACUCAAAGCAAAAAUGGUUCAAGCAGUGGUUGAAAAGUCUCUGUCCAGAUGAUCAAAGAUUAUGCGUUACUCCCUAUCUCUCUUAUCUAUUGUGAUUAUAAUGUAUUAUAAUCUCUUGGGAAACAUAAAUUUCCUCAUUUGUAUUUGAUUUUAAGAUUAAAAUUAGUAUUUUUUUUUCAGGUAGGAUUUGACAGCUCUCCUUUCCCUUAUUUUUAAAGCUUCACAGUUAUGUCUACCUGAUGACAAAAUCUCCACAGCAACCAUCAACAUAGGAACAAAAAAAAAGUUUGCUGCAACCGACACAUUUGAUCCCUUUCUUUGAUGAUACUUGUACAAGUGGCAACAUGUUCAACAUAAAUUAGUACAGCAACCUUAGCUUAAAGUCGAGCCAGUUGGAGAUGAUGUUUAAAAUCAACAUAAAAUGGGUUCUUCCCAAAUGUUAAGCCAUGGCAGGUCAAGACUCAAGGUACAAAGAUCAUGUCAUGUCAGAAACCACCAAGUGUAAGAGCUUUGGGUGCAUUUGAAGUCAACAUUUCGACCAGAAACCAAUGGUGAAUAGGAAGACUUUGUCUCUUACGACACAAGCUACACUGCCAAUACCUCAACAUGGAUAUGGUAUAAGUUAUCCGGCAGGCUUCAAUUCUCAAAGAAUAUAUAUAGUUUCUUUUCUUGUUUUGUUCUGGUUUUACAGUCAGAUGGUAUAAUCAAAUUGGUAUUUCAAAGAAUGUUGAAGCAGCACCAUCCCUUGAAGAUUACUUGUUACAGUCCAUUUCAGUCCUUAAUUUUUUAUAAUUGAAACUCCCAUAACCAAAUAUUUGAAGCUUUGAGCAGCUGGAAUUUCUAUUUCAAAAGGAAGAAUUCAGCUAUGCUUAAGGUCAACCAAUCAAGUAUAGCACUGCACAUAAGUAACAACUAUGACGUAGAAUCUGAUUACUGAUCAGCAUCCGCCAUGGCUUGGACUUGAGCUGCGUACUGCAAGUUCCAGAGGACAUCCUCGAAAGAUGGACGAGUUGAUGGUUCAGGAGAUAUGCAUUUACUCGUGAUGGAAACCAAAAUUGAUAAUGACUCCUGUGAGCAAGUAGUUAAGACAAUUGGAUCCACAAUUUUUCUUCGACCAUCCUGGCUUCCAAAGGAUGCCUGACAUAUGUAACACCAGAUCUCAGAGAUAUGUCAUCAAAACAAAUUAAAAACAAAAUAAAGGUAAGAAUUCAUAGGACUUAA